AGAACGAACGCUGGCGGCAGGCCUCAAACAUGCAAGUCUAGGGGGUGUAGCAAUACAUCACCGGCGGACGGGUGCGUAACACGUGGGAAUAUACCUUUUGGUUCGGAACAACGCAGGGAAACUUGCGCUAAUACCGAAUGUGUCCUUACGGAGAAAGAUUUAUCGCCAAAGGAUUAGCCCGCGUCCGAUUAGCUAGUUGGUGAGGUAACGGCUCACCAAGGCUCCGAUCGGUAGCUGUUCUGAGAGGAAGAUCAGCCACACUGGGACUGAGACACGGCCCAGACUCCUACGGGAGGCAGCAGUUGGGAAUCUUGGACAAUGGGGGAAACCCUGAUCCAGCCAUGCCGCGUGAGUGAUGAAGGCCUUCGGGUUGUAAAACUCUUUCGACGGGGACGAUAAUGACGGUACCCGUAGAAGAAGCUCCGGCUAACUUCGCGCCAGCAGCCGC
rnacentral:rRNA from 1 species